rnacentral:rRNA from 1 species
GACGAACGCUGGCGGCGUGCUUAACACAUGCAAGUCGAACGGUAAGGCCCUUCGGGGUACACGAGUGGCGAACGGGUGAGUAACACGUGGGUGAUCUGCCCUGCACUUCGGGAUAAGCCUGGGAAACUGGGUCUAAUACCGGAUAGGACUCCUGCCUGCAUGGGUGGGGGUGGAAAGCUUUUGUGGUGUGGGAUGGGCCCGCGGCCUAUCAGCUUGUUGGUGGGGUGAUGGCCUACCAAGGCGACGACGGGUAGCCGGCCUGAGAGGGUGACCGGCCGCACUGGGACUGAGAUACGGCCCAGACUCCUACGGGAGGCAGCAGUGGGGAAUAUUGCACAAUGGGCGCAAGCCUGAUGCAGCGACGCCGCGUGAGGGAUGACGGCCUUCGGGUUGUAAACCUCUUUCAGCACAGACGAAGCGCAAGUGACGGUAUGUGCAGAAGAAGGACCGGCCAACUACGUGCCAGCAGCCGCGGUAA